rnacentral:circRNA from 1 species
GCACUUGAGAGAAAAGACAACGAUAGCAGUUACAUCUAGAGGCUAUUAUGGAUUGGAGGAUGAGAAGGGAACUGCAUGUACCUCAACAAGGCGUCGGUCAACACCGCGAAGUUUGGCAGGCUUGACAAGUGGAGUUUUUGAAUCUAUAAUGGUUCAAGUUUUGAGACAGGAAGAACAGCUGAGAGCAAAAGAAGAAAAAAGGCUUCGGGAGCAGGAAAGAAAAGAAGCAGAAGAAGCUAGUCAAAAGGAAAUAGAAGAAUGGGAAAGAAAACUUCUAGCUCAAGCAGCUCCAACUUGUAUGGAGACCAUGUGGGAAAUUCCAGCUAUUGGGCAUUUCCUUUGUUUAGCUCAGCAAAUUCUAAAUUUGCCAGAAAUAGUCUUUUACGAAUUGGAACGUUGUCUUCUGAUGCCUCAGUGUAAUGCUUUUCUAUCGAAAAUAAUGACUUCUCUAUUAAGUCCUCCCCAUCGCAGACCUACCUUACAUCGAAGACCUACUUUGCCUUAUAGGACCUGGGAAGCAGCGCUGAGGCAGAAAGUACAACAGUGGUACACUGCUGUAGGGCAAACUGAAAAUCCUGAUAACUGUGCUGAAAAACUGGGGUUGUGUCCUCAGUUUUUUAAAGUUCUUGGAGAAGUUAAUCCAUUGGAAGAAAAACCUUUUCACGAACUACCUUUUUACCAAAAAGUGUGGCUACUUAAGGGUCUUUGUGACUUUGUGUAUGAAACACAAAAGGAAGUUCAAGAUGCUGUACUUGGACAGCCUAUCCAUGAAUGCAGGGAAGUUAUUCUUGGUUAUGAUUAUUUGGAGAAUGCUUAUGUACAUUUUCCACAGUUCUGUGGUGCAGAUGUACGGAUUUAUAAACAGAGACCCUUUCAGGCCCCAGAAUUUCCAAUUCCACCCAUUAAAAUACAAAGAGUACCUCGGAUUAAAUUGGAGAAAUUGAAGUGUGACUAUGUUAGUACAAGUAAUGGAGAACAUAGAUGUAGCAGAGAUAGCCUGCCCUCUUCCUUCAAGAAAGAGCAGGAAAAUAAUUUUGAUCCAGCUUGCUGUCCUGCUAAAAUGAUCUUGGAUAAUCAUGACAUCUCUGUUGAAAUGGGAGUAAAAUCCAACUAUGAAAUUAGAAUUCGCAGGCCUUGUGAAAUUAAAAAAACUGAUUGUUGUAAAGAAAAUUUAGAGAAACCAAGGAGUCCAGGGGAAGUUACUGGCUUUGGAGAGCCUCUUAGUCCAGGUGAAAUAAGGUUUAUAGAAAAUCAGGAAAAAUACGGUGAAGCUUCCAGAAUAAAGAUUGAACCCAGUCCAUUAAAAGAAAAUACUCUAAAAUCUUGCCAAAUACAUGUAAAUGGAAGUCACAGUGAUCAUCCAGAAAUUAACUGCCACAAAGUUGUAAGGGAUAUUCUAUUAGAGCAGUCACUACAGAGCCACAAGAAACUCAAACUAACUAAAAUGAGGGCAAAAAAGAAGAAAAAGAAAAAAAAGAAAUUGAAAGAUGUUUUGAAUGAAAACUUACAGAGAAAGCGUGAAGGUCUUCAUUCUCUUGCAUUCAAGUCUUACAAACCUGAGAUCCAGAAUAAGUUAUUGAUCAUCAAAAAAAAAGCAAAACACAAGAAGCACAAAUCUG